AUUACUUGGAUCCAAGUGCAGUGUCCGCAACAGCGAAACAGUUACGAUUGCGGAUACUUUGUUUUGAGGUAUAUGAAAGAAAUCCUUCAGGCGAAUCAAUUAGAGAUUCCGCUCACGUACCUUGACGAAUUCCGUGCUACUGCGUACCCGAAGCUUAAGUUGGAAGAAAUCAAAGAAGAUUUGUGUCAUUUUUAUAUUAAGCGCUUUUUCAUGUAGGAUUUGUGUCGAU